ensembl:snRNA U6 U6 spliceosomal RNA
CUGAUCACUUUGGCAGCACAUAUACUAAAAUUGGAACAAUACAGAGAAGAUUGGCAUGGCCCCUGCCCCAAGGAUGACACGCAAAUUUGUGAAGUGUUCCAUAUUUUG